GAUCCUGGCUCAGGAUGAGCGCUAGCUACAGGCUUAACACAUGCAAGUCGAGGGGCAGCAUGGUCUUAGCUUGCUAAGACUGAUGGCGACCGGCGCACGGGUGAGUAACACGUAUCCAGCCUGCCGUCUACUCUUGGACAGCCUUCUGAAAGGAAGAUUAAUACAAGAUGGCAUCAUGAGUCCGCAUGUUCAUAUGAUUAAAGGUAUUCCGGUAGACG
rnacentral:rRNA from 1 species